rnacentral:rRNA from 1 species
AUGGCCGUCCGCGGCAUACUCCUCGCCCUCCUCCUCGCCAUGGUUCUCCCGCGCGCCAUCCUCGCCGCCUUCUCUCCCGGCUUCCAAUAUUUCCUCGCAUGCGGCGCCAACUCCGCCGUCUCCUUCCCGUCCGAUUCCCCCGCCAACAUCUUCGUCCCCGACGCCGCCUACCUCUCGCCCGCGGGCGCUCCGGCGGUGUCCGCCAGCUCCACCCUCGCCUCCCCGCCAGCUCUGUACGCCGCCGCGCGCGCGGACAUCUCGGCCUUCUCGUACCGCCUCCCUAGCCCCGCCUCGCCAGACACGUCGUCAUUCCUCGUCCUGCGCCUCCACUUCUUCCCCUCCUUCCCCGCCACCUCCUCUCAGUAUGUCAUCAACAUCUUGUCCGCGCGCUUCAACGUUUCGGUCGCCGACGCCUACGCUCUGCUGUCCUCCUUCUCGCCUCCGGCCGCCGGCGUCGUCAAGGAGUUCUUCGUCCCGCGCGACCUCUUCGAUGGCCACUUCCACGUCACGUUCACCCCGGACGCCGGCUCCACCGCCUUCGUCAACGCCAUCGAGCUGUUCUCGGCCCCGCCGGAGAUGCUGUGGAAUGGCCCCGUGACGCCGGUGGGAGCCGUGGUGAAGGACGACAUGGACCUGUGGCAGCGGCAGCCGCUGGAGACGGUCUAUCGCCUCAACGUCGGCGGGCCCAAGGUGAUAAUUGAGAACGACACGCUGUGGCGGACGUGGCUGCCCGACGGCCCCUACCUCUACGACGCCUCCGGGCUGUCGGUGGUGAGCAACACCUCCAGCCCGAUCAUCUACGAUUCAUCGAACGGAUACACGAGGGAGGUGGCGCCGGACGUCGUGUACCAGACCCAGCGCAUGGCGAACGUGACGGACUUACUGGCGGCGACAACCCCAGGCCUGAACUUCAAUCUCACGUGGACGUUCCCGGCGGUGAAGGGGUCCCGCUACCUCGUCCGCCUCCACUUCUGCGACUACGAGGUGGUCAGCUCCGUCGUCGGCGUCGGCAUCGUCUUCAACGUCUACAUCGCACAGGCCAUUGGCACUCCAGACCUCACGCCGAAUGCUCGGGCGACUCAGUCGAACGAGGUCUUUUACAAGGACUACGCGGCCAGGGCGCCGAGCGCCGGGAACCUCACGGUGAGCAUCGGCUGGUCGUCGAAAAGCAGCGGAGGUGGCAUACUGAACGGGCUAGAGAUUAUGAGGCUGCCGCCCGUCGAUUUGAGCUCGAGGAGGUACGGCAGGACGAAGAGGACCAUUGUCAUUACGGUGUCGGCAGUGCUCGGCGCCGCCGUUCUUGCUUGCGUGGUGCUCUGCUUUUUCGGCGUGCCGUACACGAAGUACAGUGGCUCCGGCUGGGCUGAGCAGUUCAUGAACCGAUGGUCCAGAGAGCGCAAGACCGGCGGGAUGGAGAGUGUGAGCAGGAAGCUGCACAUCGCGCUCGCGAAGAUCAAGGCCGCCACGGACAACUUCCACGAGCGUAACCUCAUCGGCGUGGGCGGGUUCGGGAACGUGUACAAGGGCGUGCUCGGUGACGGCACGCCAGUGGCGGUGAAGCGCGCCAUGCGCGCCUCGCAGCAGGGGUUGCCGGAGUUCCAGACGGAGAUCGUGGUGCUGUCCGGCAUCCGGCACCGGCACCUGGUGUCGCUCAUCGGGUACUGCAACGAGCAGGCGGAGAUGAUACUGGUGUACGAAUACAUGGAGAAAGGCACGCUGCGGAGCCACCUGUACGGCUCCGACGAGCCGGCGUUGUCAUGGAAGCAGAGGCUGGAGAUCUGCAUCGGCGCGGCGAGGGGCCUGCACUACCUGCACAGAGGCUACGCGGAGAACAUCAUCCACCGUGACGUCAAGUCGACCAACAUCCUCCUCGGGAGCGACGACGGCAGCACCGGUGGCGUGAUCGCCAAGGUGGCCGACUUCGGGCUGUCGCGCAUCGGGCCGUCGUUCGGGGAGACGCACGUGAGCACGGCGGUGAAGGGCAGCUUCGGGUACCUGGACCCGGGGUACUUCAAGACGCAGCAGCUGACGGACCGGUCGGACGUCUACUCCUUCGGCGUGGUGCUGUUGGAGGUGCUCUGCGCGCGACCUGUGAUCGACCAGAGCCUGGACCACGGCCGGAUCAACAUCGCCGAAUGGGCCGUGAGGAUGCGCAGGGAAGGGCGGCUCGACAAGAUGGCCGACCCGAGGAUCGCCGGCGAGGUGGACGAGGAGUCGCUGCUCAAGUUCGCAGAGACCGCUGAGAAGUGCCUGGCGGAGGCCUGGGUGGACCGGCCGUCCAUGGGCGACGUGCUGUGGAACCUGGAGUAUUGCCUACAGCUGCAGGAGACCAACAUCACCGGGGACGAACUCGACGACAUGGUGCCGUCGUCGACGAGCUUGUUGAUGGACGAGACCGGCUUGAGCAUGACCAAUGUCGCCGACAGCAAGGUAUUCUCCCAGCUGAGCGCCCGCGGCGAGGGACGAUGA